AGGCGCGUAGCUCAGGGGUGGAGCACUUCCUUGACAUGGAAGGGGUCAACAGUUCAAAGCUGUUCGUGCCUACCA
rnacentral:tRNA from 1 species